rnacentral:rRNA from 1 species
UACGGGGGGGGCAAGCGUUGUUCGGAAUUACUGGGCGCAAAGGGCUCGUAGGCGGCCAACUAAGUCAGACGUGAAAUCCCCCGGCUUAACCUGGGAACUGCGUCUGAUACUGGAAGGCUUGAGUAUGGGAGAGGGAUGUAGAAUUCCAGGUGUAGCGGUGAAAUGCGUAGAUAUCUGGAGGAAUACCGGUGGCGAAGGCGGCAUCCUGGACCAUUACUGACGCUGAGGCGCGAAAGCUAGGGGAGCAAACGGG